GUAUUAAUACAUUAAAAUGUGUUUUGUUCCUGAGUUGUCUUUAUCUCUGGAGAACUCCUGCAUGUUUUUUGUUUUUGUUUUUUUACCACUAUUUGCACUAAUGUGCCAUCUGAUGAUCUAGCACUCGAUAUAGUCAGGAUCUAUACAAUAACACAAAAUAAAAAUGGAUGUUUUUUAUUUACGUAUUGGUUAAUCGAAAAUGCCUUGUUUGAUUUUAGUGUACUUAAAAUACUGGCGAUGAAGGCUAAACACUUUGGAGUAUUCAUAGCUAUCCCGUGGAGUUGCAACCUCAUUCUGCUGAAACCUACUUUAUAACUUUACUAACUAUUAUAACAAGAAUAACAAAAUUUGAAUUUGCCAUUUAUGAGCCUUUCAUAGAAACUCCUUGUCCCCGAUAAACACAGAAAAUUGAUUAUGAACCAAAAUAUAAUUUCAUAAUUUGUUUUAAAGUAGGUAAAAUAUAUAGUCUCAUAAGUACAGGACUCCUGAGAGUGAAACUGUCAUGGCAAGUUCUUUAUAAGUACAUUUAAUGUGAAGUAAGUGGCAUCAGUUGUUUUUAUUACUACAAUCCUCCAGGAACGUGUGAGACUCCUGUAGUCUUGUGUGCAUUAGGGAUUAUUGCAUCAUGUACAGUGCAUUGUUGUUCUUAUGAAGGAGAGCAAGACAAUUGCCUAGAUAAUGUGUCUCUUCCUUACUUGUCAAUUACUUCUUUGCAUGCACUACUAUAGCAUUAAUAUAGCAGUGCAUGGUGAGAAUUGAUUGACAAAUGGGAAGAUAACAUUAUUUAGAUUAACAUGACCGUCUUUGAUCGAUGUUUAACUUGCUGCGAUACACCAAUACUUCUUAUGUUUCAUUUUUAUUUCUUCUUUUUUAAAUUAAAGACAUUAGUUUGUACUUGCUUCAAUUACUAUUGCACUGUUUUUUUACCUUAUUUAUGCUCUCUUCAAAAAUGGCUACCCUUGUUCUGCAUGCAAAUUGCUGUAUAAUCAUGAUACAUUGCUAUUUAAAUAUGCUUCUUCAUUUUAGUCUUCUCCACAAAUGCUUUAAAUUUUUAGUUUUAUGCCAUUUUAGGCAUAUUUUAGCAUUUUUACACAUCUUGCCUUCUUAGUAUACUCAAAUAUAGUCAUGUGACGUGUUGUUUCAAUCAACAUUACGAGAACUCACUUUUACUUUUAUUGCUACCCCUUAAAUGGUUCCUUUAAUUCAUGGUUAUUUUGCUUUGUUUUAUCUAGGUAUCCACUUUUAUUCAAGUUUAUAUAAAAUUGUA